UCUUAAUUUUAAAUUUUCUGAAGUAGUAAAUAUGAAACUUAAAGAUUUGACAGUAUUUAAUUUUUUAGAGGAAUAUGUAAUAUAAUCGAUAAUACCCGUUUAAUCUUACUUGUUUUAUUUUUGUAUAUCUCCGUUAUCAGAUUUUGUUUAAAUUUAAAAAUUUUCUUAAUAAUUAAAUUUAAUAUUUCAGGUCAAGGUGCAGAAUAAAUAAGAUAUUAUGUAUUACAAUCAAAAUAUUGUAAUGAAUUUUAUUUGAAAAUAUUUUUGAAAUUGAAUUUAUAAGUAAAAAAAAUUAGAAAAUUUAUUUGAAAAUUUAUUAAAUAUGU
rnacentral:rRNA from 1 species